rnacentral:tRNA from 1 species
AGCUCAGUCAGUAGAGCAUGAGAUUCUUAAUCUCAGGGUUGUGGGUUCGAGCCCCAU